rnacentral:lncRNA from 1 species
UUGGCACUGAUUCCUUCAAAAUCUUGGAAACCUUCUGAUGCCUAAAGGAUAAACUGUCAUGUCCUGCAGUCGCGGAAGCAUCUUAUAUUAAGGGGUGUCAUUUAGCCAUACACCAUUUGAAAAUAAUACAAAGUAAAAAUCAAUUUUGUGACAGAGAGUAAAAUACUUAGAACCAUCGAAGUCCCUGACAUCCACACAUUUGCAAGAUGAACCUUUACAUAUAUAUGAGCACUUCUUGUUGAAAAUUCCGUGUACUCCACUGAUAUCCUAGUACCAUAACCUCUAUUAACCAUCAUCAUGGAAUAUUUUUGGUUAUGCAGAUUAUGAUUGAGCUCCCUUACCUAUUCAUCCAGACAAUGAUAUAUGGAGUCAUAGUAUAUGCCAUGAUAGGAUAUGAGUGGACAGUUACCAAGUUCUUUUGGCAUAUGUUCUUCCUGUACUUCACCUUGCUAUAUUUUACGUUUUCUGGGAGGUAAUCAUAUGACAGAAGUUCCCUUUUUU